rnacentral:rRNA from 1 species
UACGAAGGGGGCGAGCGUUGUUCGGAUUUACUGGGCGUAAAGGGCGCGCAGGCGGCCGCUCAAGUCAGGCGUGAAAGCCCCGGGCUUAACCUGGGAACUGCGUCUGGGACUGAGUGGCUAGAGUUCGGGAGAGGAGAGUGGAAUUCCCAGUGUAGAGGUGAAAUUCGUAGAUAUUGGGAAGAACACCGGUGGCGAAGGCGGCUCUCUGGACCGAGACUGACGCAUGAGGCGCGAAAGCGUGGGAGCAACAGG